CCGACUAUAUCAUGUUAAAACACUAGUUCUUGUACGAUCAUAAAAGUUAAGCAUUGUUGAACCUAGUCAGUACUUAGAUGGGUGACCGUUUGGUAAUACCAGGUACCGUUA